ACUCCUACGGGAGGCAGCAGUGGGGAAUAUUGCACAAUGGGCGCAAGCCUGAUGCAGCCAUGCCGCGUGUAUGAAGAAGGCCUUCGGGUUGUAAAGUACUUUCAGCAGUGAAGGAAGUGGUAUGUUAAUAGCAUAUUCAUUUGACGUUAGCUGCAGAAGAAGCACCGGCUAACUCCGUGCCAGCAGCCGCGGUAAUACGGAGGGUGCGAGCGUUAAUCGGAAUUACUGGGCGUAAAGCGCAUGCAGGUGGUUUGUUAAGUCAGAUGUGAAAGCCCGGGGCUCAA
rnacentral:rRNA from 1 species